UACGUAGGGGGCAAGCGUUAUCCGGAUUUACUGGGUGUAAAGGGAGCGUAGACGGCGUGGCAAGUCAGAAGUGAAAGCCCGGGGCUCAACCCCGUGGACUGCUUUUGAAACUGCGAAGCUAGAGUGCAGGAGAGGUAAGUGGAAUUCCUAGUGUAGCGGUGAAAUGCGUAGAUAUUAGGAGGAACACCAGUGGCGAAGGCGGCUUACUGGACUGUAACUGACGUUGAGGCUCGAAAGCGUGGGGAGCAAACAGG
rnacentral:rRNA from 1 species